rnacentral:rRNA from 1 species
UAGAGAGAAGCUUGCUUCUCUUGAGAGCGGCGGACGGGUGAGUAAUGCCUAGGAAUCUGCCUGGUAGUGGGGGAUAACGUUCGGAAACGGACGCUAAUACCGCAUACGUCCUACGGGAGAAAGCAGGGGACCUUCGGGCCUUGCGCUAUCAGAUGAGCCUAGGUCGGAUUAGCUAGUUGGCGAGGUAAUGGCUCACCAAGGCGACGAUCCGUAACUGGUCUGAGAGGAUGAUCAGUCACACUGGAACUGAGACACGGUCCAGACUCCUACGGGAGGCAGCAGUGGGGAAUAUUGGACAAUGGGCGAAAGCCUGAUCCAGCCAUGCCGCGUGUGUGAAGAAGGUCUUCGGAUUGUAAAGCACUUUAAGUUGGGAGGAAGAGCAGUUACCUAAUACGUGAUUGUUUUGACGUUACCGACAGAAUAAGCACCGGCUAACUCUGUGCCAGCAGCCGCGGUAAUACAGAGGGUGCAAGCGUUAAUCGGAAUUACUGGGCGUAAAGCGCGCGUAGGUGGUUAGUUAAGCUGGAUGUGAAAUCCCCGGGCUCAACCUGGGAACUGCGUUCAAAACUGACUGACUAGAGUAUGGUAGAGGGUGGGUGGAAUUUCCUGUGUAGCGGUGAAAUGCGUA